UAUGAAGAACGUAGCGAAAUGCGAUAAGUAAUGUGAAUUGCAGAAUUCAGUGAAUCAUCGAAUCUUUGAACGCACAUUGCGCCCGCCAGUAUUCUGGCGGGCAUGCCUGUUCGAGCGUCAUUUCAACCAUCAAGCCCCCGGCUUGUGUUGGGGACCUGCGGCUGCCGCAGGCCCUGAAAACCAGUGGCGGGCUCGCUAGUCACUCCGAGCGUAGUAAUACAUCUCGCUCAGGGCGUGCUGCGGGUUCCGGCCGUUAAAAAGCCUUAUUUACCCAAGGUUGACCUCGGAUCAGGUAGGAAGACCCGCUGAACUUAAGCAUAUCAAUAAGCGGAGGA
rnacentral:misc_RNA from 1 species